rnacentral:rRNA from 1 species
AUUGAACGCUGGCGGCAUGCUUUACACAUGCAAGUCGAACGGUAACAGGUUAAGCUGACGAGUGGCGAACGGGUGAGUAAUGCAUCGGAACGUGCCCGGUCGUGGGGGAUAACGCAGCGAAAGCUGCGCUAAUACCGCAUACGAUCUAAGGAUGAAAGAGGGGGACCGUAAGGCCUCGCGCGAUCGGAGCGGCCGAUGUCAGAUUAGGUAGUUGGUGGGGUAAAGGCUCACCAAGCCAACGAUCUGUAACUGGUCUGAGAGGACGACACGCCACACUGGGACUGAGACACGGCCCAGACUCCUCCGGGAGGCAGCAGUGGGGAAUUUUGGACAAGGGGCGAAAGCCUGAUCCAGCAAUGCCGCGUGCAGGAAGAAGACCUUCGGGUUGUAAACUGCUUUUGUACGGAGCGAAAAGGUCUCCUCUAAUACAGGGGGCUCAUGACGGUACCGUAAGAAUAAGCACCGGCUAACUACGUGCCAGCAGCCGCCGUAA